AUUGAACGCUGGCGGCAUGCCUUACACAUGCAAGUCGAACGGCAGCGGACCUUCGGGUGCCGGCGAGUGGCGAACGGGUGAGUAAUAUAUCGGAACGUACCUUUCAGUGGGGGAUAACGUAGCGAAAGUUACGCUAAUACCGCAUAUUCCGUGAGCAGGAAAGCAGGGGAUCGCAAGACCUUGCGCUGAUUGAGCGGCCGAUAUCAGAUUAGCUAGUUGGUGAGGUAAAGGCUCACCAAGGCGACGAUCUGUAGCGGGUCUGAGAGGAUGAUCCGCCACACUGGAACUGAGACACGGUCCAGACUCCUACGGGAGGCAGCAGUGGGGAAUUUUGGACAAUGGGCGCAAGCCUGAUCCAGCCAUGCCGCGUGAGUGAAGAAGGCCUCGG
rnacentral:rRNA from 1 species